CCCAAGCUCCGGCCUCGGGUGGUCCCCGCCCAGUUCAAGCGCCUGUUAUUGUUGGGACCCGAGACCAGAGCGAGUCCGCUGAGGCAAUCGCUUUCUCGGGUCAGUGACUUCCGGGACUUCCCCCAUCCCGUUCUCUCCUUGUUCUUCGAGGCAGGCUUGCUGGUCGCUCCUCCCGCCACCCAUCAGGCCAUGGAAGGGGUGAAAAACCUGAAUCCUGGAAGAUUUUAGGAAAUAAAGUGAAACAAGCCAUGUUUGAAGCUUACCCCUUAGGAGAAAAGCUGCCCUUCCUCUAAAUACAUGUGUGAGGAAGCAUGUGACCUAGCCUGGAAAGCAGCCUAUAACCUUGAGAAGAGGAAUCUGACACUGUGAAUGGAAAUGGAAAGAGAUGGAAAGAACUGACAUUCUCAUAACAUUAUUGAGCUUCUGUUUUAACGAUGUCGUGAAGC